rnacentral:lncRNA from 1 species
CCUGCCAAAACUGUUGUUUGGGAUCCCUUAUCAUGGUCAACUAGCCUAGCUAAACCAAAAUCCCCAAGUUUAGCAUUGAAAUUGGAAUCCAACAUAAUAUUGCUCGACUUUAUGUCCCUAUGCACCACACAUUGUUCCCAUUCUUCGCGUAGAUAAAACAACGCUGAGGCCAAGCCUUGAGCAAUCUUGAAUCUUAUUGGCCAUGUCAAAUGGCUUUUUCCCUUGAAAAGAUGGUGGUCUAAGCUUCCAUUAGGCAUAAACUCAUAGACAAGUAGAAGUUCUCUUUUUUGAUGGCACGAACCAACGAGUUGCACCAAAUGUUUAUGUCUUAACCGGCUGAUAAUCCUGACUUCUGAUGCAUACUCUUUUAUUCCUUGCUUUGACUCCCUUGAAAUCCUCUUAACAGCAAUAUAGGAGUCAUAUUCCCUGAGAUAUCCUUUAUAAACACCUCCAAACCCACCCUGCCCAAGCAUCUCUUCCCGCGAAAAGUUAUUUGUACAUCUAGCCAACUCACCAUACAAAAACUUCUUUGGUCCUGUGUUUCUUUCAAAUUCAUUAGUCAUGGAACCAUCAAUUAUAUCUUCAUCUUCAUCUUCUCUGACCUUCCUCUUUCUCCAAAAUGCAAACAAUAUAAAAACAGAUACUGCUACUGAAACACAACCACCAGAAAUCAAUCCAAUCACUAGUCCUGACUUAUUUUUGCUUGGAGUAUCUUCUGGCACAGGGCUUGGUUGGGGUACAUCUGGAUCUGUUAUGUUUUCAUUAUAGUUUAAAGAAGAAGUGAAAUUCCAAGAAUAUAUGGUUUGUAUUGCAAAGUAGGUUCCUGUUGCACCUGAGAAGCCAAAAGUGACCCAUUCUGGCAAAUAUUCCCUCAGAUCAAGAUUGUAAGAUAGGGUCUGCAGGACAGUGACUGUGGUAUUCUCUUGUGGUUGAAAACCAGUGAAGACAACACUAAGAUUUUUUGAGGUUGAAUUAUAAGUAAUCCAGGCAUCAGUUCUCGUACCAUUCGGAAUAUUACUAAACCAGGUCACAUUAACAAUAGAUACCAUGUAGUUGAUGUCGAUGCCUACAUGAUCACCUGGUGGAUCAUCAAUGUUCUUAAAGGUGUCAAACUCGACAGCAACAAAAGAUUGAUUUCUUGAUGUAUUUUGUCGACUAUAAUAAUUUGCAAGGCCAAGGCCGCCUCCUGCGGUUGAGUUAUCAGUAAUUCUUGAAUCUGCAGGGGCGAGGAAAAAGGCAAUUCCAUCAGCAUAUAUGUUCAUGCCCUGUGAAUUUAUGCUAAAGGAGAAGUGUGUAGUGAAAUCUGUGACAUUCCCAGAGGCCUUGUCCCAAAGAUGGAGUGUUUUUGAAUAUGUGGCUCGGCCUAUGCUAUAGUUUGCACCACUAUCGCGCUGGUUUUUGGUGAGCUGAAUUACACCAUUUGCUGGAUAAGCAUCUGCCUCAUAUGUUACAUUCUGAUCAUUGGGAUUAAAACUAUCAAAAUUGAAGGACAGUGAUGUGACAAAGGGGAUUAUCAAAACAAGGUAUGUGAGAGCAGAUAAAGAUGCAAAAAUAGCCAUAGUUAGAGAAAUGUUUUAUCAGAUUGCUAGACUACUGAAUAUAUCCCUUUCAUUUUCUCAUCUUUUCAAGUGCAGAAUAAGGAGUUGGUCAAUUUUUUUCGUCAGCAAAAUAUUACCAUUUCAUAGCAAAGAUAGUAACAGGAUAGUUGAAAUUGAUAAAGUCCUAAUUUUAGAGGAAGCAACAAGUAUUCUUUAUUCCCUAAUAAAACAUAAAUUCAAGAGUCAAAUAUUGAUGAGAAUAGUAUAACAAUCAAGUCAUUUUACAAUAUUGAAAUAUUAUCAUAUCCUAGGCAAACCUCUAGAGUAUUAUAACAUGUUCAUCCAAUUCUGUGGGAGAUAACAAGAAAACAUGGUCCUUAAUCUCAUAAGAUUGUUUCGAAAUACCUUCACUGGUACAUCUACAUAAUUAAUGUUCAGAUUCCUCCAUAGGAUUUUGGGAUUUCAAACUUUCAAUUGGAUCAGGAAACAAUUCUUAAUUUAUUGGAUUAAACAUUUUGUAAAGAGUCUCACUUUCAUUUAUUACCCUUUUGAGGAAAAUUAUUUUCUAGAAAUGUGACAUCUUGUGAUUCAAUUUCAAUAGUAUUUUCAUUCUCCAAUUCAUCAAUAGAACAUAUCUUUUGAAGUGUUCUAAGUAUCUUAUAAAUACAUGUUUCUUCCUUUUGAACUCAGUUUACUGAACUCACCAAAAUGAAUUUGAAAAAAGUGCAGGACCAAAGAAGUUCUUGUACAGUAAGUUGGCUAGAUGUACAAAUAACUUUUCGCAGGAAGAGAUGCUUGGGCGGGGUGGGUUUAUAACAGAUAUCUCAGGUAAUACAAUUCCUAUAUUUCUGUUAAGAGGGCCUCAAUGGAGUCCAAGAAAGGAAUACAAGAGUAUGCAUCAGAAGUCAGGAGACAUAAACAUUUGGUGCAACUCAUUGGCUAGUGUCAUGAUGAAAGAGAUUUUCUACUUGCCUAUGAGUUCAUGCCUAAUGGAAGCUUGGAUACCCAUCUUUUCAAUAGAAAAAUCCAUUUGACUUGGCCAAUAAGAUACAAGAUUGCUCGAGCCUUAGCCGUUGUUAUAUCUACACGAAGAAUGGGAAGGAUAGGUGGUGCAUAGGGACAUAAAGUCGAGCAAUAUUAUGUUGGAUAUUCGUACUGAUUUAAUUGCUAAACUUGGAGAUGGGAACAACAUAUGCUUACAGCUAUGGUGUUGUCUCAUUAGAAAUAGCUUGUGGAUGAAAGCCUACCGAUCAUACAACUGAAGAUCAUCAAGUAAACAUUGUUAAUUGGGUUUAGGGACUUUAUGGGAUGAGAAAUCUUGGUAAAGUAGUUGAUCUUAAACUAUCAUCCAAGUUCAAUGAAAAGUAAAUGGAGCACUUGCCAAUUGUUGGCUUAUGGUGUGCUCAUCUGGAAAACAAUUACAGGCCUUCUAUUAGGCAAGUAACUCAUGUCCUUAAUUUUGAAGGUCCAUUGCCUGCCCUUCCUCCUAACAAGCCUGUGCCAACAUAUUGUAUUUCAUCACAAUAUCUACCACCAUAUGAUACCGAUUGUCCUGAGAUCACCCAUGCUCGAUGAUAUUAAAUGAAUACACACAAUACUGAUUCUUCAUACAACACAGCCUCUUCAUCUUCAUCUUUAGUAGCACUUUUGUAUGCACGUUGAUGUUUUCCAUAAAAUCAGUUCAAUGGGCCUUUGCCUUGUUGAGAAUAUAACUAAAUUAAUGAUAAAAGUGCGCUCUCAAAAAUCGCUUAAGCUUUUAGAUGAGAUGGUCACACACUUCUUGAACAUGUGUCUUUUCCAGCUAGAUAUUUUGUCCACGAGGAAACAAAUGAUACAGGAUGUAAGUACACAAAUCAGAUUACAAUUAAGCUCAAGAGACAUGUAUUUAGGAAAAGAGUAUUUACACUAUUUAAUGUAAACUUUGAACAAGAAUUGUGAUUCAUUCAAUCAUCUUCAUAAAAGUAGAAAUAAUAAAGAAUACAUAGACCAAAAGUUGGACACUGCAAUUGAAAGAUUGAAUGCAGGGAAAUAAAAGACCUGUUCAUUUAUAAGACAAUAUCAACGUGUGUACAAAAGUGAUGCGGAAGGCGAAGAUGCUGCAGAAGCUGCUGUGUUAUUUGAAGAACCAGUGUAGUCUCUAGUCCCUGAAGAGUGUAUUUCAGAUAUCCCAGGACCAUUAGAGUCGUAUGGUGAUGCAAAUGAAGUAGUUGGUCCAUAUUGUGGCAGACUGCAAUAUGUCGGUACAGGCAUGUUUGGAGGGAGUGUGGGCAACGGAGCUUCAAAAUUAAGAACCUGAGUUGCUUGCCUAAUAGAAGGCCUGCAAUUGUUAUCUGGAUGAGCACACCAUAAACCAACAAUUAGCAAGUGCUCCACCUCCUCUUCAUUGAUCUCUGAUGAGAGUCUAGGAUCAACUGCUUCACGAAUAUUUCCCAUCCCGUAAAGUCUCCAAACCCAAUCGACAAUAUUUACUUGAUGCUCCUCAGCUUUAGGAUCAAUAGGUUUCCUUCCACAAGCUAUUUCUAAUGCGACAACACCAAAGCUAUAGACGUCUGUUUCCUUGCUAGCUUUGCCAGUGGUGAGACAUUCAGGAGCCAUGUAACCCAUCGUGCCUGCCAAAACUGUUGUUUGGGAUCCCUUAUCAUGGUCAACUAGCCUAGCCAAACCAAAAUCCCCAAGUUUAGCGUUGAAAUUGGAAUCCAACAUAAUGUUGCUCGACUUUAUGUCCCUAUGCACCACACAUUGUUCCCAUUCAUCGUGUAAAUAAAGCAACGCUGAGGCCAAGCCUUGAGCAAUCUUGAAUCUUAUUGACC